rnacentral:rRNA from 1 species
GACGAACGCUGGCGGCGUGCUUAACACAUGCAAGUCGAACGGAAAGGCCCUGCUUUUGUGGGGUGCUCGAGUGGCGAACGGGUGAGUAACACGUGAGUAACCUGCCCUUGACUUUGGGAUAAAUUCAGGAAACUGGGGCUAAUACCGGAUAGGAGCUCCUGCUGCAUGGUGGGGGUUGGAAAGUUUCGGCGGUUGGGGAUGGACUCGCGGCUUAUCAGCUUGUUGGUGGGGUAGUGGCUUACCAAGGCUUUGACGGGUAGCCGGCCUGAGAGGGUGACCGGCCACAUUGGGACUGAGAUACGGCCCAGACUCCUACGGGAGGCAGCAGUGGGGAAUAUUGCACAAUGGGCGGAAGCCUGAUGCAGCAACGCCGCGUGCGGGAUGACGGCCUUCGGGUUGUAAACCGCUUUCGCCUGUGACGAAGCGUGAGUGACGGUAAUGGGUAAAGAAGCACCGGCUAACUACGUGCCGGCAGCCGCGGUGAUACGUAGGGUGCGAGCGUUGUCCGGAUUUAUUGGGCGUAAAGGGCUCGUAGGUGGUUGAUCGCGUCGGAAGUGUAAUCUUGGGGCUUAACCCUGAGCGUGCUUUCGAUACGGGUUGACUUGAGGAAGGUAGGGGAGAAUGGAAUUCCUGGUGGAGCGGUGGAAUGCGCAGAUAUCAGGAGGAACACCAGUGGCGAAGGCGGUUCUCUGGGCCUUUCCUGACGCUGAGGAGCGAAAGCGUGGGGAGCGAACAGGCUUAGAUACCCUGGUAGUCCACGCUGUAAACGGUGGGUACUAGGUGUGGGGUCCAUUCCACGGGUUCCGUGCCGUAGCUAACGCUUUAAGUACCCCGCCUGGGGAGUACGGCCGCAAGGCUAAAACUCAAAGGAAUUGACGGGGCCCCGCACAAGCGGCGGAGCAUGCGGAUUAAUUCGAUGCAACGCGUAGAACCUUACCUGGGUUUGACAUGGAUCGGGAGUGCUCAGAGAUGGGUGUGCCUCUUUUGGGGUCGGUUCACAGGUGGUGCAUGGCUGUCGUCAGCUCGUGUCGUGAGAUGUUGGGUUAAGUCCCGCAACGAGCGCAACCCUUGUUCACUGUUGCCAGCACGUUAUGGUGGGGACUCAGUGGAGACCGCCGGGGUCAACUCGGAGGAAGGUGGGGAUGACGUCAAGUCAUCAUGCCCCUUACGUCCAGGGCUUCACGCAUGCUACAAUGGCUGGUACAGAGAGUGGCGAGCCUGUGAGGGUGAGCGAAUCUCGGAAAGCCGGUCUCAGUUCGGAUUGGGGUCUGCAACUCGACCUCAUGAAGUCGGAGACGCUAGUAAUCGCAGAUCAGCAACGCUGCGGUGAAUACGUUCCCGGGGCU